CCUACGGGAGGCAGCAGUAGGGAAUCUUCCACAAUGGGCGAAAGCCUGAUGGAGCAACGCCGCGUGGGUGAAGAAGGUCUUCGGAUCGUAAAACCCUGUUGUUAGAGAAGAAAGUGCGUGAGAGUAACUGUUCACGUUUCGACGGUAUCUAACCAGAAAGCCACGGCUAACUACGUGCCAGCAGCCGCGGUAAUACGUAGGUGGCAAGCGUUAUCCGGAUUUAUUGGGCGUAAAGGGAACGCAGGCGGUCUUUUAAGUCUGAUGGGAAAGCCUUCGGCUUAACCGGAGUCGUGCAUUGGAAACUGGGAGACUUGAGUGCAGAAGAGGAGAGGGGAACUCCAUGGGUAGCGGUGAAAUGCGUAGAUAUAUGGAAGAACACCAGUGGCGAAAGCGGCUCUCUGGUCUGUAACUGACGCUGAGGUUCGAAAGCGUGGGUAGCAAACAGGAUUAGAUACCCCUGGUAGUC
rnacentral:rRNA from 1 species